rnacentral:rRNA from 1 species
UAGCCCCUACGGGAGGCAGCAGUCGGGAAUAUUGCGCAAUGGACGGAAGUCUGAACCAGCCAUGCCGCGUGCAGGAAGACGGCUCUAUGAGUUGUAAACUGCUUUUGUACAAGGGUAAACCUGAAUACGUGUAUUCAGCUGAAAGUACUGUACGAAUAAGGAUCGGCUAACUCCGUGCCAGCAGCCGCGGUAAUACGGAGGAUCCAAGCGUUAUCCGGAUUUAUUGGGUUUAAAGGGUGCGUAAGCGGAUUGAUAAGUUAGAGGUGAAAUGUCCGAGCUCAACUCGGGAACUGCCUCUAAUACUG